AACGAACGCUGGCGGCAUGCCUAACACAUGCAAGUCGAACGAAGUCUUCGGACUUAGUGGCGCACGGGUGCGUAACGCGUGGGAAUCUGCCCUUGGGUGCGGAAUAACUUCUCGAAAGGGAUGCUAAUACCGCAUAAUGUCGUAAGACCAAAGAUUUAUCGCCCAAGGAUGAGCCCGCGUAAGAUUAGCUAGUUGGUGGGGUAAAAGCCUACCAAGGCGACGAUCUUUAGCUGGUCUGAGAGGAUGAUCAGCCACACUGGGACUGAGACACGGCCCAGACUCCUACGGGAGGCAGCAGUGGGGAAUAUUGGACAAUGGGCGAAAGCCUGAUCCAGCAAUGCCGCGUGAGUGAUGAAGGCCUAGGGUUGUAAAGCUCUUUACCCGGGAUGAUAAUGACAGUACCGGGAGAAUAAGCUCCGGCUAACUCCGUGCCAGCAGCCGCGGUAAU
rnacentral:rRNA from 1 species